rnacentral:rRNA from 1 species
UACGUAGGGUGCAAGCGUUAAUCGGAAUUACUGGGCGUAAAGCGUGCGCAGGCGGCUUUGCAAGACAGAUGUGAAAUCCCCGGGCUUAACCUGGGAAUGGCAUUUGGGACUGCAAGGCUCGAGUGCGGCAGAGGAGACUGGAAUUCCUGGUGUAGCAGUGAAAUGCGCAGAUAUCAGGAGGAACACCGAUGGCGAAGGCAGGUCUCUGGGCCACUACUGACGCUGAGAAGCGAAAGCAUGGGGAGCGAACAGG